rnacentral:rRNA from 1 species
GCCUAAAAGCCAGCCAACUAAAUUUACCAAUAUCACCACCAACUAAGAUCAAAACAUUUAUCUAGGCCAGUAAAUGAGAUUAAAACCCACCACAGGCCUUACAAGUACCGCAAGGGAACAUUGAAAGAACAAUGAAAACUCUAAGCAUAAAAAAGCAAAGAUAAACCCCUGUACCUUUUGCAUCAUGGUUUAGCAAAAACUCCACAGACAAAGAGACCUUUAGCCUGUCCACCCGAAACCAAACGAGCUAUUUUUAGGCAGCUUUUAAUUAGAGCACACCCAUCUCUGUAGCAAAAGGGCGGGAAGACCUAAAAAUAUGAGGCAAAAAACCUACCGAGCUUGGUGAUAGCUGGUUACUCACAAAAGGAUUUUAGUCCAACUUUAAGUAUUACUAGAGAAAACCCCUUAAACUCACCCUAAUACCUAAAGAAAUUCAAUGGGGGUACAACCCCAUUGAACCGGAAUACAGCCCGUACUGAGAGUAAACCUUUCACCCUUUUCCUAUGUGGGCCUCAAAGCAGCCACCAAAGUCAAUGCGUUACAGCACCAACAAAGACAAUCUAAACAUCAAAGUUUUACUCCUAAUUCUUAAGAGUUACCCUAUAUUUAAAUAGAGACACCAAUGCUAAAAUUAGUAAUAAGAAAUAAUCGUUUCUCCCCGCACCCCCUUAAAUCAGAAUAGAAAAACUACUGAUAAUUAACAACCCAACCAACUUACCCCCACCACCAAGCCACAGUGUUAUUCAAGACUUGUUACCCCAACACAGGAGUGCAAAAAGGAAAGACAAAAAGUCAAAAAAGGAACUCGGCAAACCGCAUUCCCAACUGUUUACCAAAAACAUAGCCUUUAGCCCUCCAAGUAUUAAAGGUCCCGCCUGCCCAGUGACUCUUUUAAACGGCCGCGGUAUCCUAACCGUGCAAAGGUAGCAUAAUCACUUGUCUCUUAAAUAGAGACUAGAAUGAACGGCUAAAUGAGGACCCAACUGUCUCUUAUGACUAGUCAAUGAAAUUGAUUUUUCAGUCCAAAAGCUGAAAUUUUCACAUAAGACGAGAAGACCCUGUGGAGCUUAAAAACCAAACUACCAACAUAUUCCCCUGGUUUUUUAGUUGGGGCGACUUCGGAGUACAAAUGAACCUCCAAAAAACAGACCAAGUUUAUGAGAUAUACACAUCAAAACAAACGUCCUAGACCCAGAAACUAUUUUCUGAUUAAUGAACCAAGUUACCCCAGGGAUAACAGCGCCAUCCCCUUCAAGAGUCCAUAUCGACAAGGGGGUUUACGACCUCGAUGUUGGAUCAGGACACCCAAAUAGUGCAGCCGCUAUUAAAGGUUUGUUUGUUCAACAAUUAAAGUCCUACGUGAUCUGAGUUCAGACCGGAGAAAUCCAGGUCGGUUUCUAUCUAUGAGGCACUAUCUUCAGUACGAAAGGACCAAGAUAAUAGGACCCACACUAAAAGGACGUCCUAAUAAUUCACUGCUUACCACUUCUUAAGCAAAACAGGUGCCACCCACCAGUCUAAUUAGACUU